rnacentral:lncRNA from 1 species
GCGUGUCUCAUAAAAAAGAAAAUGUAAUUAUUAUUUAAUUUUAUUUAUUUUUAAAGUUAUCUGGGAUGUAAUCUGUGAUGUGUUUGUACGUCAAUGGUUGAUCGGUGCAUGCCUCUACAAGCACGAUUUGCGCAUGUCAAGAUCAAGGGUUGAUUGGAGAUGGAUCAAGGAGUUGAUCUUAAUUGGACCAAGGGUGCUCAAGAUCGAGUCAAUAGUUGAAGACGAUCUAACCAAUUGACGUGCAUGUGCUUGUA